rnacentral:rRNA from 1 species
GUGUCAGCAGCCGCGGUAAUACGUAGGGGGCAAGCGUUGUCCGGAAUUAUUGGGCGUAAAGGGCACGCAGGCGGUUCCUUAAGUCUGAUGUGAAAGCCCGUGGCUCAACCACGGAUGGCCAUUGGAAACUGGGGAACUUGAGAACUGAAGAGGAGAGUGGAAUUCCACGUGUAGCGGUGAAAUGCGUAGAUAUGUGGAGGAACACCAGUGGCGAAGGCGACUCUCUGGUCGGUUUCUGACGCUGAGGCGCGAAAGCGUGGGUAGCAAACAGGAUUAGAUACCCUGGUAGUCC